rnacentral:rRNA from 1 species
UACGUAGGGUGCGAGCGUUAAUCGGAAUUACUGGGCGUAAAGCGUGCGCAGGCGGCUAUGCAAGACAGAUGUGAAAUCCCCGGGCUCAACCUGGGAACUGCAUUUGUGACUGCACGGCUAGAGUGCGGCAGAGGGGGAUGGAAUUCCGCGUGUAGCAGUGAAAUGCGUAGAUAUGCGGAGGAACACCGGAUGGCGAAGGCAAUCCCCUGGGCCUGCACUGACGCUCGAUGCACGAAAGCGUGGGAGCAAACAGG